CGUGUCGUGAGAUGUUGGGUUAAGUCCCGCAACGAGCGCAACCCUUGUUAUUAGUUGCCAGCAUUAAGUUGGGCACUCUAAUGAGGCUGCCGGUGACAAACCGGAGGAAGGUGGGGAUGACGUCAAGUCAUCAUGCCCCUUAUGACCUGGGCUACACACGUGCUACAAUGGGCAGUACAACGAGAAGCAAGCCUGCGAAGGCAAGCGAAUCUCUGAAAGCUGUUCUCAGUUCGGACUGCAGUCUGCAACUCGACUGCACGAAGCUGGAAUCGCUAGUAAUCGCGGAUCAGCACGCCGCGGUGAAUACGUUCCCGGGCCUUGUACACACCGCCCGUCACACCAUGGGAGUCUGCAAUGCCCAAAGCCGGUGGCCUAACCUUCGGGAAGGAGCCGUCUAAGGCAGGGCAGAUGACUGGGGU
rnacentral:rRNA from 1 species